rnacentral:rRNA from 1 species
AUUGAACGCUGGCGGCAUGCCUUACACAUGCAAGUCGAACGGUAACAGGUCUUUCGGGAUGCUGACGAGUGGCGAACGGGUGAGUAAUACAUCGGAACGUGCCUAGUAGUGGGGGAUAACUACUCGAAAGAGUGGCUAAUACCGCAUGAGAUCUAUGGAUGAAAGCAGGGGACCUUUGGUCCUUGUGCUACUAGAGCGGCCGAUGGCAGAUUAGGUAGUUGGUGGGAUAAAAGCUUACCAAGCCUACGAUCUGUAGCUGGUCUGAGAGGACGAUCAGCCACACUGGGACUGAGACACGGCCCAGACUCCUACGGGAGGCAGCAGUGGGGAAUUUUGGACAAUGGGCGCAAGCCUGAUCCAGCAAUGCCGCGUGCAGGAUGAAGGCCUUCGGGUUGUAAACUGCUUUUGUACGGAACGAAAAGUCUUGGGUUAAUACCCUGGGAUCAUGACGGUACCGUAAGAAUAAGCACCGGCUAACUACGUG